UCGCUAGUAAUCGCGGAUCAGCAUGCCGCGGUGAAUACGCUCCCGGGCCUUGUACACACCGCCCGUCACACCAUGAGAGUCGGGAACACCCGAAGUCCGUAGCCUAACCGCAAGGGGGGCGCGGCCGAAGGUGGGUUCGAUAAUUGGGGUGAAGUCGUAACAAGGUAGC
rnacentral:rRNA from 1 species